UUCUCCAAUUUGAUGGCCUUGCAACUUAUCGGUAUUUGUUCUAGAAAGAUUUGGGACAGCCAACCUCCAACAUCCAUGUCUUCCUCUUACAACAGUUUGACGCAUUUGACCUUGUGGAGUUGUAGAAAUAUAAAAUAUGCAUUUCCAUCUUUCAUUGCCAAAAGCCUCAUGCAACUCCAACACCUUGAGAUAAGUGAUUGUGACGUUUUAGAGGAGAUUGUUGCAAAAGAAGGAGGAGCAAAUGUAGUUGUCAAUUUUGUCUUUCCACAUAUAACCUCAUUGGUGCUUUGCAAUCUACCAGAACUUACAGCUUUCUAUCCUGAAAUACAUACUUCCAAAUGGCCAAAGUUGAAAAAGUUGAUGGUGAGAGAUUGUGACAAAUUCACUUCAAAACAUAUGAGCUUCCAAGAAAAUAGUGAGGAGGGUGAACAUAUUUCCGAGCCAAAAUCCAUCUUCUUGGAUGAUAAGAUCAACUCUGAUUUGGAGGAAUUGGAAUUACGUAAUAAGUUGAGAAAGAUUACAUGGAAGAGUUUAUCUAAACAUCUUGAGAUCGCUCAUGAUAAGUCAGCAAAUAUUCCAUUUGGACUCCUUCAAAGAUUUGAAAAUCUGAAAGAGCUUGAACUAUAUGAAAAUAAUCAAUACAAAGAAAUUAAGUACCUACUUGAUCUUCCAAAUCUUGAAGUUCUACAAGUAAAUGAGUGUAAGAAAUUGAUGACUCUGGAGCCAUCCUCAACGUCUUUCCAGAAUCUUAAGAUUCUGGAAGUAAUCAGCUGGAAUGGGUUGAUGAUGAAUCUAAUGACACCUUCAAUGGCUAGAAGUUUGGUGCAGCUGAGAGAAAUGAGAAUAAAAGAUUGUAUAAUGAUAAUAGAAGUAGUAGAAAAUGAGGGAGAUACAACAACGAGUACUGAAAUUGUUUUUAACAAUUUGAAGAAGUUGUUACUUGAAGAAUUAGAAAAUCUAGAAUGCUUUUGCUCUGGGAAUUACUCUUUCAAUUUCCCAUCUUUGGAAGAGUUAGCUAUAUGGAAGUGCCCCAAUAUGAAGACUUUCUCUCAAGGAAUCUUAAGCAUACCAAAGUUACACAAAAUUGAUUAUGACCAGGAGAAGAAAGAUUUAGAGAAUGGGGAGAGUGAGCUUAAUACAACCAUACAACAAGCACACACAAAAAAGGUUGAAUCUGAUUUGAAGGAAUUGACAUUAACAUUAAGUGGAAGAGACAUCAUGUCGAUUUGGGAAGGAGAGUUUCAAGAAAGCUUUGGUGAAGUAAAAACUCUUGAAUUGGUUAAGGAUGAAUAUACAAACAUUCCAAUUCAAAUUCUUCACAAAUUUAACAGUCUCGAAAAACUCAUAUUGAAAAUAAGUUCAUACGAAGAGAUAUUUUCAUCUAGAGAGGAUGAGGAACAAGUUGAAGCACUUACAAAAUUAAAAGUUUUAGAACUGUGGGGACUUUAUAAUUUAAAGUGCAUUUCAAAACAAGAUUCCCGAUUGAGCUCAAUUCUUCAAAAUCUUGAUUGUCUAAAGGUGAUACAUUGUCACAAUUUGACUACUUUAUUGCCAUCUUUAGUGUCUUUCGAAAAUCUGAGGAUUUUACAUUUAGUUUAUUGCAAUGGAAUGCAAAACUUAAUGUCAUUCUCAACAAUCCAAAGUCUGGUGCGACUAAAAGAGUUGUCUAUAGCAUGUUGUGAAAUGAUGAUUGAAGUAUUAGCAAAUGAAGGAGAUAUAGAGAAAGGUGAAAUUGUUUUUGAAAAAUUGGAGAAGUUGUACUUGUUUAAUUUAGAAAGUCUCGCAUGCUUCUACUGUGGGAAUUACACUUUAAAAUUCCCAUUCUUGAAAAAAUUACUUGUGCGUGAAUGCUCCAAGAUGAAGACUUUCUUUGGAGGAGGCUUAAGCAUGCCAAAGUUACAAGAACUGAACUAUGAAAAUUGUUCAAAGAGUGACAUUGAUACAAUCAUACAACAGUUACAAAAUGAUUGUUCAGAGUUAUGGGAAAGAUUCCCAUGAGAAGGAGAUUUAAGAGUUUUAGUUAGACAAGAAAGCGUAAUGUUCUUCAAUACACAGCACAAUCAUGUGAUGAGAUUGCCAAGUUGUUCUCGAGUCUAUUCACAACGAUCAGCGAAAUGAUGUCGGUUAUGCUUCAAGCAGAUUUGAAGUUAAAAAUUGGCGUCGUCUUUGUCUGGGCUCUAGGCGACAGGAUCGCGUGAAAGGUAGUGUUCGAUUUAGAAGAGGUUCAGCAAGGAUCAUGAAGUGCAAAUACAUUGAAUGGCUCUUGAAUAUAUUUAUCCGAAAAUAAAUCUGAUGACAGGGGAAGUUUCCUACAAUGGCUACGAGUUGGAUGAGUUUGUUCCCCAGAAAAUGUCAGCUUAUAUAAGCCAAGAAGAUCUGCAUAUAGCAGCAAUGACUGUGAGGGAAACACUUGAUUUUUCUGCCUGAUGUCUUGGUGUUGGAAACAUAGGUGAUAUGAUGAUGGAGGUCAGUAAAAGAGAGGAGGUAGGAAUUGUUCCACAUCCAGAUGUAGAUACUUACAUGAAGGCAAUUUUUGCAAAAGGACAAAAAACAACCCUUCAAACAGAUCAUGUUCUAAAGGUCCUUGGAUUGAUAUCUAUGCUGACAGAAAUGGUGGGAGAUGAUAUAAGAAGAGGCAUCUCUAGAGGUCAAAAAAGGAGACUAACUACAGUUCAACUACAUAUCAGAUUGUUGCUUGUCUACAGCAGCUGGUGCAUAUCACAGAUGCUACCUUAUUGAUUUCACUUCUUCAGCCAGCUCCAGAAACCUUUGAACUCUUUGAUGACAUCAUUUUGAUGGCAGAAGGGAAGG